GAUGCACUUCUACUGGUGUGGGUGCAACAUCAGUCUAUGUGAGAUGGUGCCUAGUUUUUUUCUCCGUCUCCUGUCCUGUUUUCUCACAUACAUGUGGCAACAUAGAUUUAGUGCUGUGUGAAUGUGGCCUUGCAAAUUGUGUGACAGUUUGUUAUCUACUAGGUAUGAGUUGUUGUUGUUGUUAAAACAUUUUAGGCUAAGACAUUUCCACCAUAGCCCGACAGGGCAAUAUCCAUGUGCAUCCAUCAGUUGUAAA